rnacentral:rRNA from 1 species
UGGGGAAUUGUUCGCAAUGGGCGCAAGCCUGACGACGCAACGCCGCGUGGAGGAUGAAGGUCUUCGGAUUGUAAACUCCUGUUGCCCGGGACGAAAAGCCUUGACCUAACACGUCAAGGUCUGACGGUACGGGGUGAGGAAGCCCCGGCUAACUCUGUGCCAGCAGCCGCGGUAAUACAGAGGGGGCAAGCGUUGUUCGGAAUUACUGGGCGUAAAGGGCUCGUAGGCGGCCAACUCAGUCGGACGUGAAAUCCCUCGGCUUAACCGGGGAACGGCGUCCGAUACUGGAUGGCUUGAAUCCGAGAGAGGGAUGCGGAAUUCCAGGUGUAGCGGUGAAAUGCAUAGAUAUCUGGAGGAACACCGGUGGCGAAGGCGGCAUCCUGGAUUGGUAUUGACGCUGAGGAGCGAAAGCUAGGGGAGCAAA